UGGAGUCGGCAAAAAUAAAUUAAAAUAAA
rnacentral:sRNA from 1 species